AGAAAACAAAGUGUGGUUAGCUAUCUGGUUGUUCAAAUUUACUUCAACGUCACUCAAUGAAAGAAUGUUGGUAGACACAUAUUGCUGUUCAGCAGAGAGGUGAGAAGGCCCAGGACCGGCACUAAUUGCAGAUGACCAUCCAUGAUCUGUUUUACAUUCACUCCGACUAACAUUAUUCUGCGUACCGGAGGAGCUGGAUUCUCCUAAAUUCCAGCCAAUUAUAUUCUGUCUUUCUUGGUUUACAGGACUAAGGUUCGCUCCGACUAACAUUAUUCUGCGUACCGGAGGAGCUGGAUUCUCCUAAAUUCCAGCCAAUUAUAUUCUGUCUUUCUUGGUUUACAGGACUAAGAAACUGUAUGUUUGUCUCAUUAGAAGGUACCAUAUAAUCUGGUAGCCGACUUUGUGCAGGAUUCUGCAAAUUAUUCCAACAAAUCUGCUGAUCUAUAUUGCCAUCACUCGAUGUUGAACCAUGAUUGAAACUCAAAGUUUCUGGCAGGU
rnacentral:lncRNA from 1 species